ACGCUCGACACCUACGGGAAGCAGCAGUGGGGAAUAUUGCACAAUGGGGGAAACCCUGAUGCAGCGACGCCGCGUGAGCGAAGAAGUAUUUCGGUAUGUAAAGCUCUAUCAGCAGGGAAGAAACUGACGGUACCUGACUAAGAAGCGCCGGCUAAAUACGUGCCUGCACGCCGACGGUAAUCUGAGCGGGCUGGCAAGGC
rnacentral:rRNA from 1 species